UUGGGAAGAACACCAGUGGCGAAGGCGCUUACUGGGCCGGUACUGACACUCAGGGACGAAAGCUAGGGGAGCAAAAGGGAUUAGAUACCCCUGUAGUCCUAGCCGUAAACGAUGAAUACUAGGCGUAGCUUGUAUCGACCCAAGCUGUGCCGAAGCUAACGCGUUAAGUAUUCCGCCUGGGGAGUACGCUCGCAAGGGUGAAACUCAAAGGAAUUGACGGGGGCCCGCACAAGCGGUGGAGUAUGUGGUUUAAUUCGAUGCAACGCGAAGAACCUUACCAGGACUUGACAGUUUGGGAAUCCCCUUGAAAGGGGGGAGUGCCUUAGGGAGCCCAAAAACAGGUGGUGCAUGGCUGUCGUCAGCUCGUGUCGUGAGAUGUUGGGUUAAGUCCCGCAACGAGCGCAACCCUCGUCUUUAGUUGCCGGCAUUAAGGUGGGCACUCUAGAGAGACUGCCGGUGAUAAGCCGGAGGAAGGUGGGGAUGACGUCAAGUCAGCAUGCCCCUUAUGUUCUGGGCUACACACGUACUACAAUGGUAGGGACAAAGGGCAGCCAAACCGCGAGGUGGAGCGAAUCCCAUCAAACCCUGCCUCAGUUCAGAUUGCAGGCUGCAACUCGCCUGCAUGAAGGAGGAAUCGCUAGUAAUCGCCGGUCAGCAUACGGCGGUGAAUCCGUUCCCGGGCCUUGUACACACCGCCCGUCACACCAUGGAAGCUGGCCACGCCCGAAGUCGUUACCCUAACCGCAAGGAGGGGGAUGCCGAAGGCAGGGCUAGUGACUGGGGUGAAGUCGUAACAAGUAAC
rnacentral:rRNA from 1 species